GCCUCCUUGGCGCAGUGGUAACGCGUAGCACUUGUACAGUCGAUGUAAUGCUAAGAUCACAGGUUCGAUUCCUGUAAGAGGCA
rnacentral:tRNA from 2 species